ACAGACAAUUGGACUAGUUUUGCAAGUAGUGUAAUGUUCUGUACUCGGUAAAUUUUAGCUUCAACAAAAUGCAGCAGAUUUACUUUGCUCCACUGCCCCAAAUAAAUGCUGUACAACUUCCUUGGUGACCUGGAAAAAGUUGAACUUCAGAUCAUACUGAUUGAAGUAAUUCACUUUCUCCCAUCUCUUUAAUCUUCGGAGGAGAUCUCAUCACCUUAACCCGAAAUUUUGCCUUCUCAUCUGAACCAAACUCAAUCACAUCUGAUGGGUGAAAUCGAGUAGGAAAGUUUGGAGGCACCCUAUGUCGUCUCCCUUCAUUAUGUGUGAUAAAGGUGCCAUGUUUGCUCCCCAAAUCAAUUAGGUAAAAAGCACCAUCUUUAUAGCUAAUAUGAGCAUGCAUAUUGGAGACCUGUGACAAGGGUAACACUAUAGACCUUCCAGGAAAAUCUUCAAGCGACACAUUACCAACCAUGCAGGGUGCGUUCUCAUCCCUACUUAAACAGAUAGGUUCUGAAACAACGUCAUCAUUCCCACACGGUAAAAGAAACCCCUCUCCAUUAAGAGCACGCUCCAGUGCGUCAUCGUUUUCAAACCAUGUCCGUAACUGGUCGCUAGCUUUGUCUGAAAGUCUGCAACAUUGAGACCUCCCUUCAAGUUUUGAGCUAUUACCACCUAAGACCCAACUGAGCAUUAAAGGCAUUGCUAUGUCAAUAAAAAAUCUCCCACCAACUCUUCCUGGAUGUGGUAUCCGAAACUUUGUCAAGAACGACAAUGGACCAAGGCCAACUCCCAAAUACGCCUUGUAAGGAAAGUAAAAGCCAUAAUUGCUGCCAUUCUUGCCAUUCCAUGGAUGAUGGAAACUCGAAGUCUUCUAGCAAUCUCAUAGCUCUUUAGGGAUGAAACAACAUCAAUGGGUGUUCCUGAUUCAAUGCUUUGUUUCCAUGCUUUAUCAAGCUCCAAUGCAAGUUGAUAACUAUCCUCAAUUGCCAUGCACCCCCCCUGACCCAUAUUUGGCUGCAUGGCAUGGACUGAAUCUCCAAGCAAGGUCACACGACCCCUUCCCCAUGUAAAUAUGGGUGCUCUAUCAUAUAUGUCACGUCGAAGAAUGGCAUCUUCUUCUGUGGCAAGUAUCAAAUCUGUUACAUUGUCACACCAACCCUCAAAUAUUUGUAGCAGCCUUUCCUUUUUACCAUUAGGUCUAUCCAUGCCACCAGGUGGUUCCUUGUGAAAUGCGUACCACUGCAUCUUUCCAGCACCCACAUCUGAAGAAACAAAGUAUUGUUUAUGACCCAAAAAUACUCGAUACCCCACAGUCUCAAUAUCAACAGGCACGAAAUCUGCAAUGCCAGUAUAACAAGUGUAGCCAGAGUAUGUGGCUUCCUUAUGCCCAAAUAAAUUCUUCCUCACAUUUGACCAUAUUCCAUCAGCACCAACUAGGAGAUCACCCUCGUAACGCUGUCCAUUCUCAAGCAUCACAGUGACCUUAUUCCCGUGAUCCUCAAAAUUAACAACAUUACUUUCAUUGAGAAUCACGUCUUCUCCAACAGCACGAGCUAGGAUUUGUUGCAAAGUCAUUCGGCUAAUAACUCUUGUGACUGGAAGACCUCGUUCUGC
rnacentral:misc_RNA from 1 species